rnacentral:rRNA from 1 species
CAGGGCUUGACAUCUACCUGACGCUAACUGGAAACAGCUAGUUUCUUUCGGGACAGGUAGACAGGUGGUGCAUGGUUGUCGUCAGCUCGUGUCGUGAGAUGUUGGGUUAAGUCCCGCAACGAGCGCAACCCUUGUCCUUAGUUGCCAUCAAGUAAUGUUGGGCACUCUAAGGAGACUGCCGGUGACAAACCGGAGGAAGGUGGGGAUGACGUCAAAUCCUCAUGCCCCUUAUGCUCUGGGCUACACACGUGCUACAAUGGCCUGUACAACGGGUUGCGAAGGGGUGACCCCAAGCUAAUCCCUUAAAGCAGGUCUCAGUUCGGAUUGUAGGCUGCAACUCGCCUACAUGAAGUCGGAAUCGCUAGUAAUCGUGGAUCAGCAUGCCGCGGUGAAUACGUUCCC